UACCAGCUUAUACUGAAUAAAAAGAGCAAGUGAGCAGAAGAUUCGGGAAAUGAGCCUCUCUCGAAGCAGCAGGGCUGAAUAAAUGGACUGAGCCAGCCCAGCCAUUAACCUGGACCUGUUUCAGCUUUGACAGAUAACAGAGACCUGCCUCUAAUGAUGCCAGACAGUCACAGCACUUUAAUUAAGGGUUGAAACAGCACAAAAUUGGCUGCCUUGUUAAGGUGGUUGCAUUACCAGCAGACAGAAAUAUGCCGUAACCUGUGGACCACUCCCAUUUGGCCCACUCUUCGAGCAAGGAGGCCGUGGAGCUGAACUUCAUAAGUGCAGCAGUUCAUUGAAAUUCAUGUGGGAAGAGUGUAUAAAAAUGUCGGUCGGAUCUCUGCAGAGGACCUAUUUCACGUUAAAUAAAAUGUUUCAGUUGGAUGGAAACCUCGUUGGGAUGUCACUGAG